rnacentral:rRNA from 1 species
AGAGUUUGAUUCUGGCUCAGAUUGAACGCUGGCGGCGUGCUUAACACAUGCAAGUCGAACGUGAAAGUCCUUCGGGGCGAGUAAAGUGGCGCACGGGUGAGUAACGCGUGGAUAAUCUACCCUUAAGAUGGGGAUAACGGCUGGAAACGGUCGCUAAUACCGAAUACGCUCCCGAUUUUAUCGUUGGGGGGAAAGAUGGCCUCUGCUUGCAAGCUAUCGCUUAAGGAUGAGUCCGCGUCCCAUUAGCUAGUUGGCGGGGUAACGGCCCACCAAGGCGACGAUGGGUAGCCGGUCUGAGAGGAUGACCGGCCACACUGGAACUGGAACACGGUCCAGACUCCUACGGGAGGCAGCAGUGGGGAAUAUUGCGCAAUGGGCGAAAGCCUGACGCAGCGACGCCGCGUGAGGGAUGAAGGUUCUCGGAUCGUAAACCUCUGUCAGGGGGGAAGAAACCCCCUCGUGUGAAUAAUGCGAGGGCUUGACGGUACCCCCAAAGGAAGCACCGGCUAACUCCGUGCCAGCAGCCGCGGUAAUACGGAGGGUGCAAGCGUUAAUCGGAAUCACUGGGCGUAAAGCGCACGUAGGCGGCCUGGUAAGUCAGGGGUGAAAUCCCACAGCCCAACUGUGGAACUGCCUUUGAUACUGCCAGGCUUGAGUACCGGAGAGGGUGGCGGAAUUCCAGGUGUAGGAGUGAAAUCCGUAGAUAUCUGGAGGAACACCGGUGGCGAAGGCGGCCACCUGGACGGUAACUGACGCUGAGGUGCGAAAGCGUGGGUAGCAAACAGGAUUAGAUACCCUGGUAGUCCACGCUGUAAACGAUGAUUACUAGGUGUGGGGGGUCUGACCCCUUCCGUGCCGGAGUUAACACAAUAAGUAAUCCACCUGGGGAGUACGGCCGCAAGGUUGAAACUCAA